ACUUAAGGAAAGUACUCUUUGAAUAUAUGAUGGGUCGGGAGACAAAGACAAUGGCCAAGGUUAUAACAACAGUGCUGAAGUUCCCAGCAGAUCAAGCUCAGAAGAUACUAGAACGAGAAGAUGCUCGACCAUUGUUUGCCUCACCUCGCAGUGGUAUCUUCUGAAUAUCCCAUCAGUCUGUGCUUAGUUAGCAUGUGGUCAUGGCUACGACCAUCUUGAAGGAAUUAUGAUGAGAAUGUCUCAUGACACUGCUGCUUAGAAAUAUAUUCAGAACUAUUGUCCCUUGAGAAGGGACAAGAAGAAAAGCUAUUAUUCAAGGUCACAAAUGGAACAGCAAGAACCAAAACUCAGCACCACCUUUGGACCAUGAAUAUAGUUAAAACUGCCUUGACAAGAAACGCUAAUCAGGGGUUAUCUGGUGAUGAGUCUCUUUUCUCCUCGAUUAAACACUGUCUUCUAUUUUGUGUUAAAAGUUAUUUUUUUAAAAGGAGAGAAAAAGACUUUAUCCUAGGAAGGAAUUGCCCACUACUGUAUCUCUAUACAGGCUUUGCUGGGUGUUUUUUAAGAGUUGAAAUAAACGGUUUGUUUCUUCUAUUUAUUUUUUUUAUUUUUGGAAUGAAUUGUGCAAUACAUUUUUGGAUGGGUAGCAGUUGAGGUGAUUUUCCCCAUGAACUAGGCACUCUUGAUGACUACUCUCUCCCGAUCUGAUCUUAUGAUUGUUUGCUAAAGAUCACUUCUAUAUGCUUUUGCCUACAAUAAAUCCAAGUUGCAGUACCUCAUUUGUUUACUCCUAGCUUUUGUACUUAUAUUUUCUGGAGAAAUAGUACGUUACUGUAAAUUGUAAAUAGUUAAUACAGAACUGUAUCAUAUGCUGAUCGGUGACUGUUGACAGCACUAAUCUGACAAAAGCUGAGAUGAAAUAAAGUUUAUUUACUGUAUAAUUCUUUGG